rnacentral:rRNA from 1 species
CCUAUGGGGGGCAGCAGGCGCGAAAACUUUACAAUGCGGGAAACCGUGAUAAGGGAACUCCGAGUGCCCGUAAAAUCGGGCUGUCCAUCUGUUUAAAUAACAGGUGAAGAAAGGGCCGGGCAAGACCGGUGCCAGCCGCCGCGGUAAUACCGGCGGCUCGAGUGGUGGCCACUAUUACUGGGCUUAAAGCGUUCGUAGCUGGUCUGUUAAGUCUCUGGGGAAAUCUACUGGCUUAACCAAUAGGCGUUUCAGGGAUACUGGCAGACUAGGGACCGGGAGAGGUGAGAGGUACUCCAGGGGUAGGAGUGAAAUCCUGUAAUCCUUGGGGGACCACCUGUGGCGAAGGCGUCUCACCAGAACGGCUCCGACAGUGAGGGACGAAAGCUGGGGGAGCAAACCGGAUUAGAUACCCCAGUAGUCC